AUUUUGUUUUCCAUAACUUAAUUUUAAAAUGUGGGGAAAAAAAUGUUAAGUUCCAGGUAAUAGGUCUUAUAUGAUAUGUAUGUUAUGUAUAUCUUGUAUUUUGCAGCAUGUUUAAGAAAAUUCCUGCAUGGUGCAAUCUGACUGUUGACAAUAUUUGCAUACUGAUUCGAGUAAAAGUGACUUCAACAAACAGAAUGUAUUUGAUAAAUAUUAGUAAUGACAGCUCAUAUUGAAACGAGAUAUUUUGUAAAGAGGUUUUCAAAGAAGUCGUUUGAACAAAACUAGAAAAGCCUCCAAUUCCCGAUAUAACCGUGAAAGUAUUCGAUACAUGAUUAAAGAAGAAUCGUUUAAAAGUUUGCUUAAUUUCGACAGUGUAAUUUUAAUUACUAUUUUUUUGAAAUAAACCAUUCAAGUUAUA